rnacentral:siRNA from 1 species
GAUCAGGUAGCGCUGGAUCCGA